UGGAAUGAAUGGAAGGUGCACUGAUGGCAGU
rnacentral:piRNA from 1 species